UCUCAGUCUGGGAAUCGCUGGCGCAAGGGUAUAGCAAUAAAAAUAGAAAAACGCUCUCUUCGUUCUUCUUAGAAUUGCUCUCUACGAAGUAUGCUCCUUGGUUUGAAGGUCGUAGGAAGGCAUGGAGGCUGGAGUCUUAGUGGAGAAAAGGUCAUCGCUUUGUAAACUGAUCCGAUUGUAAAUUGCAGAGCUAGGACAUGCUGCUAGCCUAUUAUUAGUUUAUGCAAUGUCACUGCAUAACUAUAAAUUCAUUCUAGGCCGACAGCCCAUUACUGUUUCAAAACAGCCAAAUUAACGAUGCAAUCCUCUUAACCUAAGCUUCUGUGAAAUAAGGCCUUCAGAGUCUUAGGGUCAAACACGAAUGUCAUAGCUGGGACUUACUGCUCGCCUUUUCCUCUGUAAUAUCUCGGACGUAUGCUUAUUUCUGCCAUGGCACAAAGAAUCCUUUGCAAACUACGCUUUCAUUCUAGGCCAACUCCUUAUAACUGUUUCAAACCGCCAAAAUUAGAAUGCAAUCCUCCUCACCUAAGGUAGACAAAACUACCUACUAAACUGAAUUUCAAUUUAAACCAACACAAGUAAUAAUGCAGCGCUAGGAUGCUCUCUACGGUAAAAGACAUGAAUCUUCUAUGGCGCAAGGCUGCACUCUAUGUCGGACGUAUGCUUAUAACCUGCAAAUUUUUGGAUGCAGUUCUCUUCUUCUGAGGAAUUAGCAUCAACGACAUACCGGCCUAAAACAAUAAUGAAUCGAAUCGGACCAACGGAAUCGGGGAAUCCCGGUUUCGCAUUUAA